AUUGAACGCUGGCGGCAGGCUUAACACAUGCAAGUCGAGCGAGCGGCGGACGGGUGAGUCAUGUCUGGGAACCUGCCUGCUGGAGGGGGAUAACUACUGGAACCGGUAGCUAAUCCCGCAUACCAUCAGAUGUGCCCAGAGGGGCUUAGCUAGUAGGUGGGGUAAUGGCUCACCUAGGCGACGAUCCCUAGCUGGUCUGAGAGGAUGACAAGCCACACUGGAACUGAGACAGGGUCCAGACUCCUACGGGAGGAAGCAGUGGGGAAUAUUGCACAAUGGGCGCAAGCCUGAUGCAGCGAUGCCGCGAGUGUGAAGAAGGCCUUCGGGUUGUAAAGCUCUUUAAGCGAGGAGGCGUUACUCGCAGAAGAAGCACCGGCUAACUCCGUGCCAGCAGCCGCGGUAAUAC
rnacentral:rRNA from 1 species